rnacentral:rRNA from 1 species
CCUACGGGUGGCUGUAGUGGGGAAUAUUGCGCAAUGGGCGAAAGCCUGACGCAGCGACGCCGCGUGGGUGAUGAAGGCCUUCGGGUUGUAAAGCCCUGUCGGGUGGAACGAACGAUCUGGCGGCGAAUAACCGCCGGGUGUGACGGUACCACCGAAGGAAGCCCCGGCUAACUACGUGCCAGCAGCCGCGGUAAGACGUAGGGGGCGAGCGUUGUUCGGAUUUACUGGGGGUAAAGCGUACGUAGGCGGCGAAAUCACUCGGCUUAACCGAGGUCCCGCAACCGAUACUGUCUGGCUCGAGUCUGGGAGAGGAAAGCGGAAUUCCCAGUGUAGCGGUGAAAUGCGUAGAUAUUGGGAGGAGCACCGGUGGCGAAGGCGGCUUUCCGGACUAGUACUGACGCUGAGGCGCGAAAGCUAGGGGAGCGAACGGGAUUAGAUACCCGGGUAGUC